GCUUGGCAUGAGCAACAUAAAUAAGUUUACAGAAGACGAAACUACUGCUACAAUUUUUCAUCAUGCUAACUCUUUAUAUCAUUUAUAGAAUAUGACUUCUAUGUUGGAUUGGUUAAUGCUGAGUUUGGUAUAGCAGUCCUAGCUUCAGUGGACGAGGGUUUAUGCCGCCCAGCAGCAGCAGUGUCAAAACUGGGUUAUUGUGCUGUCCCAGAUGCUGCCCAGAUGGUGUAGGAAGUGGCCAGAUCCCAUGUCGCUUCGCGCAUAACAGCUCGUCCUUUAUUCGGAGUGGAACGGACACGGAAUAAUUCAGUGAAAGAGUAUCGAUGUGAUGACACCCUUUUGACGAUGUUGGUCAGGGAACCUGUGAUGAUGUGGUGCAAAAAAUGCUACCGGUAUCACUUUCGUUCCGCUAUUGCACGUGACCCGAGCUAGGACCGCGGACCGCGAACUUGCGGUAGCGGUGAUGAUGCGUAUCCCUCGAAAUUGGUGCUGAGAUGAUGAUAUGUAAAGUAGAAGCUUGUGUGGCAUGGCCUUGUCCUUACUAAGAUACUGCUUAAGCUACACCCAAGGUGACAUGAAUUAUCGACCCCCACAUGAAUAAGGCUGCAGCCAGAACGGAA